rnacentral:rRNA from 1 species
AUUGAACGCUGGCGGCAUGCCUAACACAUGCAAGUCGAGCGGAGCGGCGGACGGGUGAGUAAUGCCUAGGAAUCUGCCUGGUAGUGGGGGAUAACGUCCGGAAACGUGCGCUAAUACCGCAUAAUAUCAGAUGAGCCUAGGUCGGCUUAGCUAGUUGGUGGGGUAAAGGCCUACCAAGGCGACGAUCCGUAACUGGUCUGAGAGGAUGAUCAGUCACACUGGAACUGAGACACGGUCCAGACUCCUACGGGAGGCAGCAGUGGGGAAUAUUGGACAAUGGACGAAAGCCUGAUCCAGCAAUGCCGCGUGUGUGAAGAAGGUCUUCGGAUCGUAAAACACUGUCAGCGGGGAGGCGUUAUCCGCAGAGGAAGCAACGGCUAACUACGUGCCAGCAGCCGCGGUAAUAC